rnacentral:rRNA from 1 species
UACGGAGGGUGCAAGCGUUGUCCGGAUUCAUUGGGCGUAAAGAGCUCGUAGGCGGCCACUCAAGUCGAAUGUGAAACCUCGAGGCUUAACCUCGAGCCUGCAUUCGAUACUGGGCGGCUAGAGUCUGGUAGGGGGAUCUGGAAUUCCUGGUGUAGCGGUGGAAUGCGCAGAUAUCAGGAGGAACACCGGUGGCGAAGGCGGGAUCCUGGGCCAGUACUGACGCUGAGGAGCGAAAGCGUGGGGAGCAAACAGGG